rnacentral:rRNA from 1 species
CCUACGGGUGGCAGCAGUGGGGAAUAUUGCACAAUGGGCGAAAGCCUGAUGCAGCGACGCCGCGUGAGCGAUGAAGGCCUUCGGGUCGUAAAGCUCUGUCCUCAAGGAAGAUAAUGACGGUACUUGAGGAGGAAGCCCCGGCUAACUACGUGCCAGCAGCCGCGGUAAUACGUAGGGGGCUAGCGUUAUCCGGAAUUACUGGGCGUAAAGGGUGCGUAGGUGGUUUCUUAAGUCAGAGGUGAAAGGCUACGGCUCAACCGUAGUAAGCCUUUGAAACUGGGAAACUUGGGUGCAGGAGAGGGAAGAGGAAUUCGGGGUGUAGAGGUGAAAUGCGUAGAUAUUAGGAGGAACGCCGA